rnacentral:tRNA from 1 species
AAAAUUUAGUUAAAUAAAUAACAUUAACUUGUCAAGUUAAAAUUACUAAAAAAAAAAGUAAUUUUUA